UGGUACGUUCGUUUCUCGACUACCACUUCGGCUUCGGCUUCCCUGAGUGAAGUUUGUGCGAACCAUGAUAUAUCGCGUCAUCUGGUCUCAGCUUGGUAUCUACAAGCGCCCUCUUCGAGUGCGACAGGGCAAUCACUAACUGGUCUCAAGCGGCUGUAACAAGCGCUUAAAACUGGCAAAGGAGCUGCGGAAUCGGUCCCCCUGUGUCUUCGUGGAGACCACUACGACGAGACUUCGCUUGUUCGCGCAAAAUGUCGAAGACGACCUACGCUGUGCCGGUGGAAGAGGAGGGGAGCAUCUUCAGCAUCCGCAACAUCGUGGCAGCCCUCGUCACCGUGACGAUACUCGCGGGUAUCGGGAUCGCGGUUCACACAGAGAGCAUCCGUACGGAAUACGCCACGAUUGCAGGCGCGGCCGUGCUGGUACUCUGGGCCCUGGUGAUAGCCUGUGAUGUGCGGUGCGUGCCCGAGAAGCGGCGCCACUACAACGAAAUCACGAACAACGAUGUCAAGAGGCCCCGCUGUGAGCCACAAUGGCAAGGCCAAGAAACCGCCUGAACUCGUGACGGUUGAAAUAAAGGGUAGUAACCAGCUCCUCCAA